UACGUAGGUGGCAAGCGUUGUCCGGAUUUACUGGGCGUAAAGAGCGCGCAGGCGGUCGGAUCAGUCGAAUGUGAAAGCCCCCGGCUCAACUGGAGAGGGUCAUUCGAUACUGUCCGACUCGAAGGCAGGAGAGGGAAGCGGAAUUCCCGGUGUAGUGGUGAAAUGCGUAGAUAUCGGGAGGAACACCAGUGGCGAAGGCGGCUUUCUGGCCUGUUUCUUGACGCUGAGGCGCGAAAGCUAGGGGAGCGAACGGG
rnacentral:rRNA from 1 species